GGCCAGUUAGCUCAGUCAGUAGAGCUUAGCACUAGCAACGCUAAGGUCGCGGAUUCGAUUCCUGUUCGGUCCC
rnacentral:tRNA from 1 species